GUGUGCAGAGGGGUGUGCAGAGGGGUGUGCAGAGGGGUGUGCAGAGGGGUGUGCAGAGGGGUGUGCAGAGGGGUUGGGGAUGGAGCCGGAGCCGGAGCCGGACCGCCCGUCCGCAGAGGAACGGAGAGUUCCCACCCUCGUCCUUACGCAACCCCCGCCUGUUUAUUUGGGCACCGGGCCGGGGAGAGGAUUUGUCCCUUCCAAUUGGGAGGAGAGGGGCAUUAACUAUUUCCUCCCCACCUUCUGCACGCCCUUUCCCCGCUCUGUGCCUGCCCGGAGCCCCCCUCACACUCAGCAUCCCCCAGCCCCAUCCUGGCACCUCCGGGGCUGUUCAGACCCGGUCUGAGCUCUGUCCGUGCCAGCAGCGAGGCUGUUUCUCAUCACACCCUUCCCCCAGCAGCUCCCAGCGCUGGCAAACAAAAACCUGAUCUGUUUUACCCCGGAAAGCAGCAGCUUGGACACCCGGGGCUGAGCAGGUCACACAAAUGCACUCGGUGGGGUGAGUGCCCCUGAGCCAGGGCAGCCUCGGGCACAAGCCCAGGGCUCUGUGGCUUGUCAGGGGCAGGAGCUGGAGCCGGGGGGAGCUCAGACUUGGCUCAGGGUCCACCUGCAGCCCUGGAUGCUCUGGACAGGACGGGCAGCACGGGCUGGGGUCACAGCUUGAGCUGCGGGCACUCAGAGCCCUUGGCUCAGACUGAGCAGAGCCCCAGCACUCAGUGCACGCACAGAACGUCAUUCCAGACACGGGAAUUGACUGGGAAGGAUGCUGCAGCCUCGGGAGCUGGCAGGAUGUCCAGAGGCAUCACCACCCUCUGGAAAUGCUGGCUGGCACACCCCGCAGGGUGGCACAGGGACAGGCAGGAGGGCAGGUGGCACAGGGCCAGGCAGGAGGGCAGGUGGCACAGGGACAGCAGAGCAGACAGGGUGGCACAGGGACAGCAGAGGGGCAGGGUGGCACAGGGACAGGCAGGAGGGCAGGUGGCACAGGGCCAGGCAGGAUGCUGGCAGCAGCAGCCAGAGGUGCUGAGCUGGUAACACCAUCCUGCACCCGAAACCCGAUAAAGGACAGGGGGAGGUUUGCAACACGUGGGAUUAACAAGGUCAGCUCAAGAUUUUCUCAGGGUGAAAAUCAAAGGGGAAAAUAUUUGCCUUGUGUGACUCAGUGAGUUCCUGAGCAGCCACCUGAGUUCCUGAGCUCACCCAGGCCUGUGGCCACUGCUGAGGAGCCAAACCUGAGCCCCCCUGCCCACAGUGCCCUGUUUAACAACCAGAGACUUCCCAGCAGCUCUGCUGUCCCUGCAGGUUUCCAUUCGCCCACUGAAAUGACAAAAAUCAGUAAAAUCCCACCUUGGUGCUGGUCACCAAACAGGGACCAUCCCAACCCUCUUGCACAAGAUCUGCCCUCGGUAUUUGAGGAAUUAGCAGCCCACACUCAGCCUAAAUCCCUGAUUCCCAGUUUGCUUCGGUGUUCUGAGGUUCAGCUGUCCCUGAGAGCUCCUCACCCCCCUCAUCUCUGAAAGCCCAGCGUGUGCCCCGUGUCACCUGGGGGAUCCAGCCCUGCUGAGCCCCAGCCGCUCCCAGGGGUGGCAGCAGGGAUGGACAGGCUGGAUUUCCAUCACAGAUCCCCCGUGCGGGGCUGGCAGAGAGCUGCCCCUUCCUGAGACACGUCCCAGGCACGGGCAGCAGUGCCCAAGAAUCAUAGAAUCGAUAAUUUAGGUUGGAAAACCCUCUGAGAUCAUCAAGCCCAAGCCCACCAUGGAAUCAUGUCCCUGAAUGUUCAC
rnacentral:lncRNA from 12 species